AAUGGACGAAAGUCUGACGGAGCGACGCCGCGUGGAUGAAGAAGGCCGCAAGGUUGUAAAAUCCUUUUGCUGGGGAAGAAUAAGUCCAGGAGGGAAUGCCUGGAUGAUGACAUGAACCGGCGAAUAAGCCCCGGCCAACUACGUGCCAGCAGCCGCGGUAACACGUAGGGGGCAAGCGUUGUUCGGAAUUACUGGGCGUAAAGGGCAUGUAGGCGGUUUAGUAAGCUUGGCGUGAAAGACCACAGCUCAACUGUGGGGUUGCGUUGAGAACUGCUGAACUUGAGUUACGGAGAGGGAGCUAGAAUUCCUGGUGUAGGGGUGGAAUCUGUAGAGAUCAGGAAGAAUACCGAUGGCGAAGGCAAGCUUCUGGCCGAUAACUGACGCUGAGGUGCGAAAGUGUGGGGAUCAAA
rnacentral:rRNA from 1 species